CACUCUCACUCGGUCACUCACUCCCUCCCUCCCACUCAACAUAGAGCUUCAGCUUCUCCAGUCUCCACUCUCCACUCUCCACCCAUAGUCCACUCUCAAGUUUCCAGCUUCUUCAGCUUCUCACCCUUCACGCUCGCACUUCCGUCCUCACCCCUCACGCUCGCAGAGUUGCAGUCGCUGUCGCUCUUCAGUCCUCCUGGGUUCUAACCACCGCUGCUGCUCCGUCUAGCCGUCGUCGCUGCUGGUCUCGGUCCUAGGCUCCUAGGUCCUGUCCUCUCGCUCUCUGGGUAUGCUCGUCGGUCCUCUCACUCUUUGGGUUCGCUCGUCUGUCCUCAUCGCCGCUGCUCCUCGCCUCCUCUGACCUGGUCCUCGGCUUGUCACCACUGUCAUAUCAGAUUUCUAAAAAUAUGAAUUCUGAAAUUGUGAGUAACCUUGUUACUACUGGAGCUGGUUCUGAGGCUGCUCCGGUCGAGGUUGAUGAACCUAGUUC